GCCUAGUUAGCUUAGUUGGUAAUGCGUCUGCCUUGUAAGCGCUUGGCGCGGGUUCGAUUCCCGCCCGGGGCG
rnacentral:tRNA from 1 species